AAACAUCACUAACUAGAACAAGGUGGUUUUUUAUUGUGGUCACAUGCACGCAAUAUAAAAUUUACCACUUUAACCAAUUUUCAGUGUGCAGUUCUGUGGCACUAAGUAGAUUCACACUGCUGUGCAACCAUCACCACAACCCAUCUCCAGAAUUCUCUUCAUCUUUUCA